rnacentral:rRNA from 1 species
CAGUCGCCGCGGUAAUACGAAGGGGGCUAGCGUUGUUCGGAAUUACUGGGCGUAAAGCGCACGUAGGCGGAUAUUUAAGUCAGGGGUGAAAUCCCAGAGCUCAACUCUGGAACUGCCUUUGAUACUGGGUAUCUUGAGUAUGGAAGAGGUGAGUGGAAUUCCGAGUGUAGGGGUGAAAUUCGUAGAUAUUCGGAGGAACACCAGUGGCGAAGGCGGCUCACUGGUCCAUUACUGACGCUGAGGUGCGAAAGCGUGGGGAGCAAACAGGAUUAGAUACCCCGGUAGUCCCUGUCUCUUAUAC